rnacentral:tRNA from 1 species
AGGCUUGUAGCUCAGGUGGUUAAAGCGCACCCCUGAUAAGGGUGAGGUCGGUGGUUAAAGUCCACUCAGGCCUACCA